GUGCCAACUGUAUCGAACCGAGCGAGGAAACUUCCUCUUUCAAAAUCGUGCUUUAACCAGUUCGGACGUCUCUUCGUCUUUCUGCUGCCGAAAAAUGAGAGCUAAGUGGCGUAAGAAGCGUAUGCGGAGGCUGAAGCGUAAGCGCAGGAAGAUGCGUGCGAGGUCCAAGUAAACUCCCCCAGCCGAACGCAUUCGUUCCAGCUGCGCGACGGGUCUCAUCAUCGGGAGACGUCGAAAUCGUCGGUUGCAUAUAGCAAACUCCCAGCAUUGUCCGUGGAUACCGUCAGUGAAACAUGUAGAAUGUGUGUCUGUUCGCGACCCACCGCUGCGGGGCACCUACAAUGUGCAGUUGGUUCAGCUGAGAGGAUAGUUUGAACGGAUGUUCGAAAAUAUACCGAAGGAUUCCAAACAAUA